rnacentral:lncRNA from 10 species
GCUAUUUAAUAUGUUUCUAAUAAGUGGUUGUAGAUGUUGUUGUUAUCCUCAUGGUGUCAUCAUCAUCAUUAUCAUAUUCUUGGGGAAAAACUCAGCCCAGUGUUCUUCAUAUUUCACUACGAGAUAAAAAGCUGGAAUUGUAAGAGUAGAUUCAGAAAGAAAAAGAAGAUUCUGAGAAGGGAUUUCAGAACAACUUCCUCUCUGGAGUAAAGAACAGUUAGGAAAGAAUAACUGGCAGCCUAAAGGUGCCUCUGUAGCUGAGUAUACUCCCAGGAAGUCUAGGCAGAGAACCAACAUUAAACUCUGCUCCUCUCGGGGCCUGGUGAGAGCUAUGGAAUGACCCAGAGAAUCCAGAAAUUCCUUCUUCUUUAUACCAGGGGCUGAGUUUGAGAUGUUACGGCUCCCAGAGGUGCCUUAACUGAUGGAAGCCUGUGACUCGUCUGGGGGAAGGCCAUCAUCACCCAUUUGCCCAUAGAUACCCUUCCAAUCCCAGUGGAACCAAAAGGAAACUUACAGGCCAAAUCUGGAGGAGGCAGACAGCAAAGUGGGAUGGAGUAAAGAGGGUGUAAGAAAAAGAUAAAGCAGCAAGUGGAAAUACAGAUGUUGGUAAUGCCUUCUGUCCUCAUCUUUGGCUCCUCAGCCUGAAGCAGUUCUGAGCUGGGGGAGGGUAGAACCUUAAACUUUAAGUGAAGUUCAGAAUUUGUAUUAUUAAACUGUCUGCCUCUUCAAAUUGCUGAAGACUAUCCUUGUGACUUGAAGUGUUCGAAGACUUUUUAUAAUCUAGAAGUUACUGGAAAAUCUAUUGGACUUAAACAAGCACAUCGAGUAGGUUUGAAAGGACUUCAGGAGGAAACAUAAAGUUAUUUUAUGAUUGCACCCUGUUGAGUUCAUCUCUUGCUAUGUGACAGUUACACCUGCCUAGGACACUAUAAGCAAUAAUGAAUAAAACAGCCCAGCUUGUUUAAAGGAGUACAAAAUGAAGGGGAAAAGUCUUGACUUCCUUACAAUCAUCAUCGAACAGAGCUCUUUCCUCCAUUUCCAUUUAAAUUGUAAACCCUAUCUAGAGGAGACUCGCUUAUUUCAGAAAGAUUUCCCCAAUAGUAUAUCAUCUCUCUCAAAAGAGGGAAUCAUCCUGUCUCCCAGGAGUCAGAUGGCCGAUUAAGAGUACGUAUUGGUCAAAGUGGUGCCACCACAUCAGCCAGGAUUGAAGACAUCCCUCCAGAGUGGUUAAUAUAAAAGCAAAAUGACUUUACUCCUAGUAUUGCUGUCUGAUAUUUAUAAUUCAGCUACACCUUCCGAGGAGCUACCAGAACCACAAAGCAAUACUUCUCUGACCACUGCAAUUACUAAGGAGGAGACAUUUGAUAAUUCGGUAUCUACAAAUAUUAAGGAAAGUCAGCUUUGCAGUCGUAUAUCCUAAGCUUGUUAAAGAGUAUGCUAACCAAAUCAUCUGCAAGAGUUGGCAUGGCCGUUGGGGGAAAUUUGUUCAUUCUUUCUUUUUUGCAGUUUUUAAAAGGUUUUCAGAUUCACUCAUUCAUUCAUUCCCUUUCAUGCUUAUUCCUCAUUCCCAUUCCCCUUUUCUCCCUCAAUAAGCAACAAUUUACUUGGGAUGUAUUCAUUCAUUUUUAUGUGUUCUAGCAAAGCGUGCGCUAUUUUGAGUGGCUAUAUUUUAAAUUUCCUUAAAUGAUAUUGUACUAUAGAGUUCAUUCCACUAAUUUUAAAUUUUUGCUUCUUUCACCAAACACUGAAUGUGUUGUCAUCCAGUCUGUUGCCUUGAAUGGCUGGAUGGUAAUCCAUGGUGUGCCUCCAUCACUGCCAGUAAUAAACAACCAGAUUCCCUCCAACUUCUCAUCAAAGCCCUGUGAUGAAAAUCUUCCUAUAGCCCUUUAUGAGCCUGUGGGAUAAGUUCUUUGGGAUAUACACCAAAAAAGAGGAAAUGCUGAGUCGUAAGGUCCAUAUGCCUAGGUCAAGAUCUAUGAUCUGACUGAGCAGCACCACAUUGUGCUCCAGACCAGCUGCACCUGCCACCCUCCCACAGGCAGUCGACUGGCAUUGCCACUGUCCAUAUGCCAUGCAUGUUAUACAGCUCUCCAGCUUUUGUCUGAUGUAAAAAGUGAUAACUGGUUGUUAUUUUAAUCUGCACUUUUAAAAUUAUGAAUAUGUUUAAGCAUCUUUUUAUAAACCCAAUAGCCUUUUAGGUAAAAAGCCAGUUCAAAUCCUUGGCCCAUUUUUCUAUUAGAGUUAAUGCCCUUUUCCUUGUUGGUUUAUACAGUUCCUUAUAAAUUCUGAAUAUUAAUCUCUUAUUGCUUUAGACAUUGCCAGAACUUUUUUCAAACCCUCAUUUGUCUAUCUCCUUCACUGAACUGAAAACCUUAAUUUUUAUGUAACAAAUUCAUCAUUCUUUGUUUGACAAUUUUGUUUUUCUUCUUUGGAUUAAGAAAUCCUUCAGUGCCUCCAUAUUAUAAAUAUAUUUUACAAUGUAGUUUUAUUUUUUAACUUUAGGAUUAUAAUUCAACUGGAACAUAUCCUUUGCAUGUCGUAUUUGGUAGCAAUCCAAUUUACAAAAUCAAUAUCUUUCCCAUAUAGAAAUAGUAACCAAUCAGAAAGUGUAAUGAAAAAUAUUAUAUACAUAAUAGCAGAGACACAGUAAAAUACUCAGAAAUGAAAAUAUGAACAUAUAAAACCUAUAUGAAAAAAGAUAAAAUUUUGUUAAAGUAUAUUAAAAAAACUCUUGAAUAAAUUAAGAGAUAUACAACGUUCACCAAUGAGACAAUUCAAUAUAACAAUGAUAUCUAUUCUUCCCAUGUUAAUUUCUAUAUUCAAUCCAAUUCCAACCAAAAUGCCAAGAUAGUAUUACAAAUUGAAUUUAAUAUGGUUGCUUGAAUGUUUAUUUGAGGGAGAAAUAUGUGAAAAGGUAGCUGAGAAAGUUUUGAAAAGUGUUUGCUACAUUAGGUAUUAAAUAUACUAUAAAAAGUACAGCAAUAAAAUAAGUGUCAUAGUGACAUAAUUGACCAACAGGAAAAAAAACCACACACAUUUCAGAAACAGACCCAUAUAUAUAUGUACUAGAAUUAAUGAUUAAGGUGGAUCUAAAACUGUAUAAUUUCUAUCUUACUUAAAAGAUGAAAUUAAGGCAAUUGGCUAUAUAUUUAUAAAACUUAAAGUUUUAUUUUCUUCUUACAUAUAUAAAACUAAAUCUCAGAUAGACGGAUGAGCUACACCAAAAAGAAAACUAUUUUUAAAAGUGCUAGAAAGUACAUUUUAAAACAUAAUAUUAGGGUGUAGAAGGUCGCCACACCACCCAAAUGCCAUAUAGGAAUAAAUGGACAGAUUUUACUAAAUUAAGAAAUUAUAAACUUCUAUCUAGUAAAAGGAACCACAAAGCUAGAUAUAGGAAGAAAAAGAGCUAUAAGAUUAAAAUAUGAAGUAAAAAAAUUAAAUGUCCAAUUUAUAAAAGCUUCUUCUCUUUUCUAUGUCAAUGAAAUAAACAACCCAAGGAAAAAAAUACACAGGAUAUGAAUUCUCAGAAGAAAUAAAGUUGGCCACUAAACAUGCAGAAAAUUUUCAAUCUUUAUUAUUUAGGGAAAUUUAAAUUAAAACAUUAAUAAAAUAUCAUUUUUCUUUAAUCGGAUUAGGAAUACUAUUUGUUAAUUCCUCAAUGUUGUGGGGAAACAAGCAUCCCAAAAUUUUUUGGUAGGGAUAUAAAUUGAUACUUUGUUUUUGUUGUUAUUUCCACUGACCAUACAUCUAACUUUCUGUCUCAGUGUAAUCUCCCAUGGUGUAUAAUCAAACUGGUAGGUGCACUUGUCUUCUAUAAUGAAGUGUAGGGGCCAGAUCAUAGCCUUAACUAACAGUAUUCUCCUCCCUAGAUUUCAAAUUUUAGGCAAGCAUAUCUUAGAUAAAAGAUGUUGUUAUGGACUAAAUUGUGUCCCCUCCCCACCCCAACCCAGUUUAUAUGUUGAAGUUCUAAACCCCAAUUCUCAGAAUGUAACUAUAUCAGAGAUAGGGCCUUUAAAGAAGUAAUUAAGUUAAAAUGAGAUCAUGAGGUUGGGCCCUAAUCCAAUAUGACUGUGUCUUCAUAAGAAGAGGAGAUUAGGCCACAGACAUGAAGACACAGGGAGAAGACCACCAAGGAAAGAGGCUCAGAAGAAACCAACCCUGCCACACCUUGAUCUUGGACUUCUAGUCUCAAGAACUGUGAGAAAGUUAAUUUGUGUUGUUUAAGUCACCCAGCAUGUGGUACUAUUGCAUGGUAGUGCUAACAAACUAAUACAAAAAUGUUGAACUUCAUUUGUUACAGAGGCUGGUAAGUUCUGUUAAGGGCCAGACAGUAAAUAGUUUCAGCUUUGGCGGCACAGAAUCUCUGUUGCAAUAAUUCAGCUCUGCCAUUGAAGUGUACAAGCAGUCAUAAACAACAUGUAGAUGAAUAGGAGAGUCUUGUUCCAAUAAAACUUUAUUUAUGGAAAUAGGUGGAGGGCCAGAUUUGAUCAAGGAACUGUACUUUGCUGUUCCUUGAUGUACAGUGGCAUCGUGCAAUUUCCUUCGGGGAAAUUGUACAUUUAAUGGUACAAGUCAAGGCCACAUGCAGCUCCACAUCUACUGCCAGUAUCAGCAAUGGCUACAGUAGUAUCAUAAUCAAACCAUCCCUGCCGCCCAGCCUUUACAGCACCGUUGGUUUUUACUGAUUUUUGAAGCUUGUCUCCAAUCAAUACUGACUCCUACAUUUUCUUAGUGGGAGAGAAUUUUUUGGAAAAUUAUUUGUUUAAUGUAGCCUGGGCUUUUGUUGCUUCCAACUGAGAGUACAGAUUGAUACAGAGGGCAAUUUAUGAGCAACUGACAAACUUAAAAAGAAAAAAAAAAGCCCUUUUAUCCUUCAAUAGAAAAGCAGAAAAGUAUCCAAAGAGAUUACUUCAUGUAUGCACAAUUAACACGUACAGGAAUAUUCAUUACAGCCAUUUUGUAAUGUCGGCAUAGCCCAGGAUUUAUUUCUUGGCCCUUAUCUUUUCUUUGUCUACAUUUAUUCUCUAGGUCUUUUUAUUUGGGGACAGAGCCUUAAAUAUCACCUAUAUGCUAACAAUCUCCACAUUUACAAUCCAGCCUGGACUUCGCCUAUGAAUUCCAGAAUUCUAUAGGCAACUCUCCACUCAAUAGCUCCCUAUGGAUUGCUAAUAGGUUUUCAAACAUAACAUGCUCUAUUUCUCCAGUAAAGGACAAUGAGGUCAGCCUUGAUUCCUUUAAUCUCACACUCUAUAUCUGAUCUUGUUGGCUCUACUGUUUAAAAGUUUCCAGAAUUAGAACACUUCAACUGCUGUCACUGCCAUCCAAGCCACAAUAUUCUCUCAUCUGGAUUAUGGCAACAGCCUCCCAACAGAUCUUUCUGUUUCUGCCCUUGUUUCCUCCAGUCUGUACUCAACAGCUUGAUGCCAUGAGAUUGUGUCCCUUCUUUUCUCAAAACCCCUCAAUAUCCUUCCAUCUAACCCAGAGUUAAAGCCAAAAUAGGUACCAGAAGACCCAAGAGAUCUACAUGCUCUGACGCCCUACACCUCUUUAACAUUAUCUUCUACCACUAUCCCCCCUGCUCAGGCCAUUCCAACCACAUUGGCCUCCUUGCUGCUCCACAAAGCCUUUGCACCUCCCAUGCCCUCUGCCUUGAAUACUCUUCCUCCAGAUAUUCACAAGGCUGGUGCUCUUGUUCCUUCAGGUCUUUUAUCAAGUGUUACUUCUCAAAAAGGCCUUACCUGAACACUCUGUCUGAAAUUCCUACACUCUGCCCACAAUAGUUCCUAUCUCUCUUCACUGCUAUAUUUCUUUCCUCAUUAUCUAUAUAAUACACUUUGCCUAUUCAUCUUGUCUGCCUUCUCCAGGAGACUGUACAAGGGCAGGAAAUUUUAUCUAGCUUUUGUUUUUUGUUUUUUUUUUUUUUUGCUGUGAAUCCCCUGUACCCAGACCAGUAUAUAGGAGAUAGUGAGCACUCAAAAAGUAGUUUCUCUGUAAAUAAAUGCAUGAAUUAAAGAAAUGAAAGCAUUAUAAGAGUCUAUUAAUGGUGAUGACUUAAAUAAAUUAUGGUAGAUUCACAGGAGGGCAAUAUAGAAUAAGGACUCUAGAAUCAAAUUGCCUGGAAUAAAAUUCUGUCUCUGACACAUGCUAUCUCUGUGACCCUGGUAAACAUAUACAACACCGUAAUGCCUCAGUUUCCCCUUCUGUAAAAUAGAUAAUGAAAGUACCCAUCCCUUAGGAUUGGUGUAAUAUUAAUGAGAUUAUCAUAUCAAAUGCUUAGCACAGUGUCUGACACUCAGCAAAUACUUAAAUAAUGUUGACUAUUACCACUAUUACUAUUACAAUGGAAUACUAUAUGUCUGUUAAAAGUAUGAGGUUGUUUUAGACAUAUACACAUGAAAAAAUCAUAGAUGUUAUCAAAAAAUGAAUCCAAAACAAAUAGGUAUAAUAUGUUCUCACUUCCAUGUAAAAAAAUCCCUCUGUGUGUAUGCAUGUGUAGAUUAAAAUGGACAGAAGAAAACAGACUUCUAUCAAUGGUUACCUGUAAUGAAAAUUAUGUGGAUGGCAACGAAGGGGACUUUAACUUUCUGUGCUCUAUAUUUCCUCACCAUUUGAACUGCUUGAUUGAUUUAUUUUCAGUGAGCCCCAAUUCAUUCCCUUUUUGCAUGUAAAAACUUUUAAAAAUGGGGUGAAAGUUUCCUCCUACAUCUGCUGCUCAGAGGAUGAUCUAGACCCAUGAGGUAUGAUUUUUAAAGGUGCUACAGAAGGUCUCUGACUGGACUUACUUAUCAAAGUAUAUUAAUCUUUUAAAAUCCAUUCCCUUACUGAUAUAUAUUUAAGGGUCCUUUUGUAAUUUAUAUUUUCCCAAGUAUAAAAUCUGAUUUGAGAGUAAAAAGUUUGCUUUUUCAAACUACACUCCCCUUCUCCCUCCCAUUCAAGAGUCUGAAACACUCUCUUAAAAGCUAUGCCUCCUUUUUUCUCUUCCUAAAAAGUAACCUAGAAACUUAAAUAGAUUCUAAUGUCUCAUUACCAACUUAAUGUCAGAAAUUCCUGACCAAUGAGAGCCAAAUAAUAUCUUCAUUCGGUAGCAGUUCUGUUGUGCCUAUCCCUUUUCUAUUGAUAAUGAAUACUCUUUCCAUUUCUAGAUUUCACAACUUGAGUCUUUUUUAACUUUUCUCCCCCAUCAUCUAUCACAUCCAAUUUGUAUUUAAUAAUCAGAAACUCAACAAACAUUUACUGAGGACUUAUGUACCAGGCACAAAACUAGGGGUUAAGAGACACAGUAAAUCAGGUAUGGUCUUUGCCUUCUAGGUACUUAGAGUCUAGUGGGGAAAUAGACAUGCAAGCAAACAACAUACUCUAAAGCACCACAAAAACACAGAAGAAUAGCCACUUUUCCCAAAUAACAUCUCUUGCACCUGUUCCUUCUGCUACCUCUCUUGUCUAAACCUCUCACUUACAAUCUGUUCUCUCACUCAUCUCUCCAUGUUUAACAGUUUCCCAUCCUAAUGUACACUAUAUGAUAUGGUUUGGCUGUGUCCCCACCCAAAUUUCACUUUGAAUUGUAAUAAUCCCCACAUGUCAAGGGCAGGGCCAGGUGGAGAUAAUUAAAUCAUGGGGCCAGUUUCCCCCAUACUGUUCUCAUGGUAGUGAAUAAGUCUCACGAGAUCUGAUGGUCUUAUAAAUGAGAAUUCCCCUGCACAAGCUCUCUUUCCUGCCACCAUGUAAGACAUGACUUUCCUCCUCUUUUGCCUUCAGCCAUGAUUGUGAGGCCUCCCUAGCCAUGUGUAACUGUGAGUCAAUUAAACCUCUUUCCUUUAUAAAUUACCCAGUCUCAGGUAUAUCUUUAUUAGCAGCGUGAGAACAGACUAAUACACUAUACAAAGCAGCCAUGUGAAUCUUCCCUAAUCAGGAGUUUCCAUAAUUUAGUCCAAUACAAAAAAUAUUCUUCAUUUUUUAUUGCAACAUUGCAAAGUACAACUUUCUUUGCCUUAGUGUCAAGGCCAGGACAUAGUAUACUCUCAAUAAAUAACUGAUGAAUAAAUGAAUCUGAACUGAGCCUCCCUAUUCAAACUUAUAUUUUACAAUCGUAUGGCUCUAAACAUACUACUUUAUACACAUGGAUGUAAGUCCUGUCCCAAGGAUGCAUCAGCACAUUUUUGUCUGUGCCUCUUGCUAGUGCCACAUUUCCUGUGUCUCUGGGAAGCCCUCCUAGCCGCCUCCCCACUGCCAUCAUUCUAAAGCUGAGUCUUGGCCCACCUUUUCAAUAGACUCUUCUCCAAACACCACUCUCUUUCAAAUGUCUUUAAAACUCCUUGUCUGCACCACUCAUUUGCUACCUUAGAAUAUGCUACUGGAAAUUGUUAUCUUCUGAUAAAUGUGGCCUGUCUUUCCAAAUAGGAUCCCCAUAAUUUAUCAGCGUCUUUGAAACUGGAAACUACAGUUGUUAGCUCUUAUAUCAUAACUACUUAGAGUACUGAAACAAAACAUUUGGAGGAAAAAGCAACAUUUAUUCCCCGUAGGUAUGAAUGACACAUUCCCAUGUCUAACCCCACUGCAGGCUGAACAAGGACCUGACAGGAAACCACAAGGCAGCAGCCCUUGCUAAGCAUGACAAUGAAUCAGAAACCUAUCGACAUCCUCUUUCCCAUCAACAGGACAGAAUUACAAAUCUAUUUCCAGGGACAGCUCCAUCAAACCCACCAUCUGUCAAUGGGUAUUUCAUAAUUUAUUUGGUUUGAUUACUAAAGAUUCAGGCAUUUUUAAAAUUAGGAAGUGGGAGAAAAGGAUUAGGAGGUCUUCCUGGACUCUUUGUGCUAUAUUAAAGUAUCCUCCUGAUAUAACGCCGCGGCCUUCAGGCUUUGGAGAAGAGUCAAGUAGCAAAUAUCCAUGUUUUGAUCCCGUUCCACAACAUCAUCCAUUCCACUCCAAAGUUCAAGAGCCAAAGGGGUUAUAGAAACAAUCUGUUUAACUUAUGACUCAAAGCAACCGAGACAGGCCAGAUCUACAGGCUAGUUGAGUUUUUUCCAAAGCCACUACCCACAAAGAUGAGAAGUCCUUCCUGGACUUCCCAGUGAUGGUCCAAGCCCUCCCCACCCCCACUUCAUGACGCAACACUCUUGGGGAUAUUCUGUCACGCCACUUAUCACAGUGUAUUUAAACUUUGUGUGCCUCUUUACUCCAAAUGGAAUAUAAUGUCCUCAAGAUUAGGGCUUCUGUAUCCUUAUAACUUCAGUCCUCAGAAGAGUAUCCAGCAAAGAGUAUACCUGUAAUGUUUAUGGUGAACAAAACCUGACAGCUUAUUGUGAUUUUCAACAUUAGAUUAUCCUAACACCAUUUCAGAAAAUGUAGGCUGUAUGCUCUACUUCGCCAUGGAUGCAUACUGCAGUUACAUUCAUCUCGACAGAUUUUCAAAGAUUUUUUCAACAACUAUUUGCAUAACAUAUUAACAUUAAUGAGGCAUUUUCACAUAUGUUAUGGAAUUAAUCCUCACAAUACCUGUAAGGAAGGUAUUAUUAUUCCCAACUUACAGGUAAGGUAACUGAGGCUAGGAGAGAUCAGAUGUGGUAGGCAGAAUAAUAGCCUUCCAGAUAUAUCAGGUCCUAAGCACUAGAACCUGUAAAUGUUACUUUAUCAGGAAAAGGGUCUUUGCAGAUGUGAUUAAGUUACGGAUCUUGAGAUAAGAGAUCAUUCUGGAUUAUCUGUUGGGGCCUAAGUGUAUUCUUAUAAGAGGAAAGUAGAGGGAGAGUUUAUACAUACACACACACACACAAAGGCAUGGCGGCAAACGUUGGCAUGGUGCAGCCACAAACAUGAUCUCUUCCAGAGCUUCCAGGGGAGCACAGCUCUGCUGACAUCUCAAUUUUGGCCCAGUGGAAUCGAUUUUGGGACUUCCAGCCUCCAAAACUGUGGAGGAAUAAAUUUCUGUUGUUUUAAGCCACAAAGUUUGCAGUAAUUUGUUACAACAGCCACAGAAAACUAACACAAUAAAUAUAAAUGGUCAGCUAGGAAGUAGAUGGCAUGGCUAACUCCUUCCUAUUUCCUCCUUAACAUUGAACGUAUGUUUGUGUGACAUGCCCAGUCCCAAAUGAAGCAUUUUAUAUGAAUUACAUUUUUCAAUACUCACAGGUUUGUUAAUUAAGAUGUAAUUGUAAUUGUUAUACCCAUUAAAAAUGAAAAAAAAUGAAGGUACAAAAAGGUUAAAUUAUCCACAAUAGCUUAUACAUGCUUUAGUAAGUUAUUUGCACAUCUGAUAACAAAUAUGCAAAAUAACAUUUUUAAAGUUUUAACUGUGUUCAAUCUCCCUCCCAAAUCAGCUUCCCCUCUCCUUGGAUUGUCUUUGUAUGUCCUACGAAAUAUCUCCCCCAACUUCAGUGAGACAUUAUGAAGCACCCACUGCCUUAGGAUAUUGGGGCAGAGAGAAGAGAACAAUGGAGUGAAAUUAUUUACUGACAUGUGACAAGCUAAAGUGCAGGUACAAGAUGGUACAAAUUUGGAAAAAUAGACUCAUCAGUCCAUGUCCAUCAGUCCAGGAAACAAUUUCCUGGCUCAGGAGAAGGGGAGAGAGGGAUUCCAUGGGCAGGAAUGGAGGACCAUCAGGAGGCUGUUCAGAUUUGCUACCUCAGAAGCUUUGUGGUGGCAGAACCAGCGCUCAGGCCACAGCAGUCUGGGCAUCACUCACUGACGGACAAGCAGGAGUGAAGCUCAUCUGACUUUUGCUAAGUUCUGUCCAACCCACCUGAUAAGGACAAUCACCUCCCCUCCCUCUUCAAUGACAUGGGGCACUUAAGCAACCACAAACAACUAGGAAGGAGGGCAGGGCCUUGACACCCGGAGGGAUGGAAGCAAUGGCAUCCGGAGAGCCCCUAGGACUAACUGAACUGAACCAUUUGGUGGUCUACCUUGUGCUUCUCAGGCUCUCCUCCCUCUUACCCUUAACACUGUGGCAAUCAGGCAGCAACCCAUUAGACCAAGAAUGUAUCUAAUAGUCCCAUUGUGCAUAGUAAGCUAUGGAGGGGCCUGAUGCAAUUGGGUUUGUCUGUUGGGAAUCUGACAUAAAUAGUGACACUGAUUUAUUAUCAGUGUCUUCUAGAUUUCUCCACAAUACUCAGAGAUUUUUAUAAUAUAUUCGGUCUGUUAUUUCAUCAUGCACCAUACUGUGGGGGCUUCUUGGGUCAUACUGCAGAUAUUUCUCUUAACUCAUUCAUCUCUGAUAAAUGAUUCAUUAGUAAACCAACGGCAGUCAUGGAGCAAUGCACACGUUAGGCUUCCUUCCCUUUACCAAUGACAUAGGUCCCAGUGCCAGGCCUUGUAAUGAUUUAAGAGCUAGAAAGGGCAAAGCACCAAUUACAGUCCAUCAGGCUUGGUCCACUGGGUGAGGAGGAACUAGCAAGCUUAACCUUUUACACUUAUGCUAACAUGUAGGUCACCAGGAUCCACUUACUCAAAGACCUUUUCCGAACCACUUCAAAGAAUUAACAGCAUCUUCCACCAUAAGCAAAUAGAUCUUUUUUUCAAUCUACAGAAACAGGCUCAAAGCACAUGCACAUAUAUAUAUAUAUAUUAAUAUAUAUAAACAUAUACAUAUAAUGUUAAAAGUUCUCUUUCAUGCGAACAUUUGGGGGAUUCUUAAAAGAAGGGAAAUGGAAUAAUAUUACACAAGAUGACAACAUUAUUAAGGGCGGGCCUCUAAGAGGCUCUCUAUUAGGCUAAAAUGGUAUGGUGUGUCUACGGCCAUACCACCCUAAAUGCGCCCAUUCUUGUCUAAGAUGGAAUGGUGUUUACAAUAUAUCUUUUAUUUAACACCAUUCCACAAAUACCUUCAUCAAUUUUAUUUCUUUUUUUUUCUUUUCUUUUUUAGAGAUAGGGUCUUGCUCUGUCACCCAGGCUAGAGUGCAGUGGUGUGAACGUAGCUCUCUGCAGCCUCAAACUCCUGGGCUCAAGCCAUCCUCUUGCCUCAGCCGCCUGAGUAGCUGGGACUACAGGCACAUGUUACUAUGCCAGGAUAAUUUUUAAUAUAUAUAUAUAUUUUUUUUUAGAGACAGGUUCUCACUACGUUGCCCAUUGAGAACUCCUGGUCUCUAGUGAUCCUCUUGCCUUGGCUUCCCAAAGUUCUAGAAUUGCAGGCAUGAGCCACCUCACCAGGCCAGUUUUCUAUUGGAUAUUAUAUGUUUCGCCCCUGAUGAAGCACCAGGGGGAAUAAAAUUCAAUUCGUUUGCCUUACAGAAGUCACUGGUCCCCUACCUGAUGCCCACCCAAGGUGAAUUUGCCCUGCCAUUGUCAUGUCUUCUCAUUAAAUAUUCCUCAGGCUGGGCACGGUGGCUCACGUCUGUAAACCUAACACUUUGGGAGGCCAAGGCGGGAAGAUCACGUGAGGUCAGGAGUUCAAGACCAGCCUGGCCAACAUGGUGAAACCCAGUCUCUACUAAAAUACAAAAAUUAGCCAGGCGUGAUGGCGGGUGCCUGAAAUCCCAGCUACUUGGGAGGCUGAGACAGGAGAAUCACUUGAACCCGGGAGACAGUGGUUGCAGUGAGCCGAGAUCAUGCCACUGCACUCCAGCCUGGGCAGCUGAGUUUGACUCCAUCUCAAAAAAAA